ACUAGUAUUGGAGGCACUGCCUGCCCAGUGACGACCGUUAAACGGCCGCGGUAUCCUGACCGUGCAAAGGUAGCAUAAUCACUUGUUCUCUAAAUAGGGACUUGUAUGAAUGGCCACACGAGGGUUUUACUGUCUCUUACUUCCAAUCAGUGAAAUUGACCUUCCCGUGAAGAGGCGGGAAUAUAUUAAUAAGACGAGAAGACCCUAUGGAGCUUUAACUACUUAGCCCAAAGAAACAAAUUUCAUUACCAAGGAAACAACAACACUCUUUAUGGGCUAACAGCUUUGGUUGGGGUGACCUCGGAGAACAAGAAAACCUCCGAGCGAUUUUAAAGACUAGACCUACAAGUCGAAUCACGCUAUCGUUUAUUGAUCCAAAAAAUUGAUCAACGGAACAAGUUACCCUAGGGAUAACAGCGCAAUCCUAUUCAAGAGUCCAUAUCGACAAUAGGGUUUACGACCUCGAUGUUGGAUCAGGACAUCCCGAUGGUGCAACCGCUAUCAAAGGUUCGUUUGUUCAACGAUUAAAGUCCUACGUGAUCUGAGUUCAA
rnacentral:rRNA from 1 species